rnacentral:rRNA from 1 species
AACGAACGCUGGCGGCGUGCCUAACACAUGCAAGUCGUGCGAGAAAGUUCCUUCGGGAGCGAGUAAAGCGGCGCACGGGUGAGUAACACGUAGGUAACCUGCCCCCCAGUCUGGAACAACUAGAGGAAACUCUAGCUAAUGCCGGAUGAGACCACGAUCCCUUCGGGGGUUGCGGCCAAAGAUGGCCUCUACUUGUAAGCUAUCGCUGAGGGAUGGGCCUGCGGGCCAUUAGCUUGUUGGUGAGGUAACGGCUCACCAAGGCUGUGAUGGCUAGCUGGUCUGAGAGGAUGACCAGCCACACUGGGACUGAGACACGGCCCAGACUCCUACGGGAGGCAGCAGUGGGGAAUAUUGCGCAAUGGGCGAAAGCCUGACGCAGCGACGCCGCGUGGGUGAUGAAGGCCUUCGGGUCGUAAAGCCCUGUCGCAGGGGAAGGAUGAUGACUGUACCUGGAGAAUAAGCCCCGGCUAACUUCGUGCCAGCAGCCGCGGUAAU